rnacentral:rRNA from 1 species
AGAGUUUGAUCCUGGCUCAGACGAACGCUGGCGGCGUGCCUAAUACAUGCAAGUCGAGCGGACAGAUGGGAGCUUGCUCCCUGAUGUUAGCGGCGGACGGGUGAGUAACACGUGGGUAACCUGCCUGUAAGACUGGGAUAACUCCGGGAAACCGGGGCUAAUACCGGAUGCUUGUUUGAACCGCAUGGUUCAAACAUAAAAGGUGGCUUCGGCUACCACUUACAGAUGGACCCGCGGCGCAUUAGCUAGUUGGUGAGGUAAUGGCUCACCAAGGCAACGAUGCGUAGCCGACCUGAGAGGGUGAUCGGCCACACUGGGACUGAGACACGGCCCAGACUCCUACGGGAGG